UAAAGAAUGAUGAAAAUGACAAUGCUUAAAGUUAAAGUAAUGUGGGAAGUAAAGAACAUGAAGUGCUAGAGGUAGCCAAAAAUAAAGAAUUGUAAAGAAUGUGUUCGCAUGAGUUUGCAACAAAAAGUGAUGAAAGAACACUAGAGCUAGUGUAAAGUCAAGAUUGAACUUAUAAAUCCUUUGAGUUAAGGAUAUGAUCAUACUUGCUAUGAGUUCCGUGCUCGAGGGCGGUCGCUCCCCCUCGGGCGAUGCGCUCCGGAGUUAUGCAUCACGGGUUGGAGUAAACCCGAAGGACGGUCCUAGCGGGUGAGUUCCUGCGAUGAUGGACUUAAUGUGAAGCAAGUUAAUGUGGCGAAACCCCCGGGUUAGCCUUGAGAUUAAAGAAUAAAGAAUAAAGAACAAAGAGCAAAGAACAAAGAACAAAGAGUAACGUGAAAAGAACAAAGAAUUUGCAUAAUCUGCAUUUAUUUAAUGUUGAGCAUAUUUCUGCUUUAUUGUUCAGGCAUAUUAGCAUCAUGUAUAGAUUGGUUACUAUAUGCAGCUUAUUCUUUCUAUUAUGCCUGAGUUAGUCCUAGUGGGAAAGUCGGUGAUGUUGAGGCCGAACCCACUGGGAACUUUGUUGUAGUUCUCACCCCACUAUUUCCACAGAGCCGGGACCGAGCGAGCCGGCGAGCGACCGCGGUAAAGGUAUCGCACCGUAGUCAGAGGCCACCGGAGUUGGGUUACAUUUUGAUAGUAGCUACCCUAUGUUCAUCUUUUGUAUUUGAUGACUAGUAAUGUAAAGAAAAGAAUGUAAAGCUUAUCUUGAGGUAAAU
rnacentral:lncRNA from 1 species